CAUUUCCCAGAUGUCAGCACGAGCUAAUCUAUGCCAGCUGUGCAGGUUUAAGAGAUAAGUUCGAUAACAGGCAAACUCAUGGACUUUUUUGUAUAUUGUGCACACAUUAUCAGGCCUUAGUUUGCGUGUGGCUAGUUUAGUAAAACAAUAAACAGCCAGCUGAACGGUUCGAUUGCUCGGUGACAAUUUAUAAAGAUAAUACAGGGAACACAAACUGAUCAUGGAAAAGACAGAGCCGCCGCCGUACACUGAACAGCCGCUGCCGGAAACGCAACCGCAGCCAAUGCCACAGGCAACACCUCAAGCACAGAUCAGGUUUGUGCCAGCGCAAACCUAUCAGCCGUAUCCGGCGGGUCCGACGCAGCCGCCACUCUAUCCGCCCAUGCAACAACAACAACAACAGCCACCAGGUUCCUGUGUCCUGAUACACACAACAACACAACCUAUCCAUGUGCCAGUGGGCAGGGAUCCGACCUUCGUACGUUGUCCCACCUGCCGAAAUGAUGUGGUGACCACAAUUCAAUGUACGCCCACAGGACGAACACAUAUGUGGGCCUUGCUGCUGUGCCUAGUUGGCUGCUGGCCCUGUGUUUGUGUACCCUACUGCAUGGACUCCUGUAAGACGGCGAACCAUUACUGUCCCGUCUGCAAUGCCUUUAUAGGCAGCCGAAUGCUCUGAAAGUGUUAGGAAAUCAAAAUUCAAAAUUGUGCUCUAAUAAAGGAACUGACCUACUGUAAUACAUAGAUAAGUAGCUCGUAAGGAUCCCGACAAAUCGAUGGGCUAAAAAAAGUUAUUGACCAAAACACGAUUCUUUUGUAAAGUCAA